rnacentral:rRNA from 1 species
AUGUCGCCUCAACUUCUGCAGCCAUCCCAAAUUAAAUUAUUUUUUACCAUGGCAAAACAUCAUAAUAAGUUGCCGUGGAAACACAAAGUAUGUCACCGUGUCGAAAUCAUGUUUUCAUUGCCAUGGCAAGAAAAUAUAAUAUGGUUUGCCAUGUUUCUGAAGCUGUUAGUACUAUUUCCAUGGCAAUUUAUAGAUGUUCUUCUCAACAAACUGUUGCAAUUCGUUUGUAAAAAUUUCAUGGCAAUUUUUGUAAAUUUCACAUGGCAAUUUUCUGAAAUUUUUGUUAGCUACAACAUGGCAAAUUAA